UACGUAGGGGGCAAGCGUUGUCCGGAUUUAUUGGGCGUAAAGAGCGUGCAGGCGGUUUGGUAGGUCCGCUGUGAAAACUCGAGGCUCAACCUCGAGACGCCGGUGGAAACCAUCAGGCUAGAGUCCGGAAGAGGAGAGUGGAAUUCCUGGUGUAGCGGUGAAAUGCGCAGAUAUCAGGAAGAACACCCGUGGCUAAGGCGGCUCUCUAGUACGGUACUGACGCUGAGACGCGAAAGCGUGGGGAGCGAACAGG
rnacentral:rRNA from 1 species